GACGAACGCUGGCGGCGUGCUUAACACAUGCAAGUCGAACGGAAAGGCCCUGCUUUUGUGGGUGCUCGAGUGGCGAACGGGUGAGUAACACGUGAGUAACCUGCCCUUGACUUUGGGAUAACUUCAGGAAACUGGGGCUAAUACCGGAUAGGAGCUCCUGCUGCAUGGUGGGGGUUGGAAAGUUUCGGCGGUUGGGGAUGGACUCGCGGCUUAUCAGCUUGUUGGUGGGGUAGUGGCUUACCAAGGCUUAGACGGGUAGCCGGCCUGAGAGGGUGACCGGCCACAUUGGGACUGAGAUACGGCCCAGACUCCUACGGGAGGCAGCAGUGGGGAAUAUUGCACAAUGGGCGGAAGCCUGAUGCAGCAACGCCGCGUGCGGGAUGACGGCCUUCGGGUUGUAAACCGCUUUCGCCUGUGACGAAGCGUGAGUGACGGUAAUGGGUAAAGAAGCACCGGCUAACUACGUG
rnacentral:rRNA from 1 species